CCUACGGGUGGCAGCAGUGGGGAAUAUUGCACAAUGGGGGAAACCCUGAUGCAGCGACGCCGCGUGAGUGAAGAAGUAUUUCGGUAUGGAAAGCUCUAUCAGCAGAGAAGAAAAUGACGGUACCUGAUUAAGAAGCCCCGGCUAACUACGAGCCAGCAGCCGUGGUAAUACGUCGGGGGCCAGCGUGAUCCGGAUUUACUGGGUGUUAAGGGAGCGUAGACGGCAGCACAAGUCUGGAGUGAAAUGCCGGGGCUUAACCCCGGAACUGCUUUGGAAACUGUGCAGCUAGAGUGAAGGAGAGGUAAGUGGAAGUCCUAGUGUAGCGGUGAAAUGCGUAGAUAUUAGGAGGAACACCAGUGGCGAAGGCGGCUUACUGGACUGUAACUGACGUUGAGGCUCGAAAGCGUGGGGAGCAAACAGGAUUAGAUACCCCUGUAGUC
rnacentral:rRNA from 1 species